rnacentral:misc_RNA from 1 species
AAGGAGUCUAACAUAUCUGCGAGUAUUUGGGUGUCAAACCCGAGUGCGCAAUGAAAGUGAACGUAGGAGCCACGCGCCAGCUGCAGCUCCGGCCGAUCUGGAUCUUUAGUGAAGGGUUUGAGUAAGAGCAUAUAUGUUGGGACCCGAAAGAUGGUGAACUAUGCCUGAAUAGGGCGAAGCCAGAGGAAACUCUGGUGGAGGCUCGUAGCGGUUCUGACGUGCAAAUCGAUCGUCAAAUUUGGGUAUAGGGGCGAAAGACUAAUCGAACCAUCUAGUAGCUGGUUCCUGC